rnacentral:rRNA from 1 species
UACAGAGGGUGCGAGCGUUGUCCGGAAUCACUGGGCGUAAAGGGCGCGUAGGCGGCCUGAUAAGUAGGGGGUGAAAUCCUGUGGCUCAACUGCAGGGCUGCCUCCUAGACUGUCGGGCUUGAGCACGGUAGAGGCAGAUGGAAUUCCCGGUGUAGCGGUGGAAUGCGUAGAUAUCAGGAGGAACACCAGUGGCGAAGGCGGUUGCCUGGAGCUUUGCUGACGCUGAGGCGCGAAAGCGUGGGGAGCGAUCCGG